UACAGAGGGUGCAAGCGUUAGUCGGAAUUACUGGGCGUAAAGCGUGCGUAGACGGUUAUUUAAGUCGGGUGUGAAAGCCCCGGGCUCAACCUGGGAAUUGCAUUCGAGACUGAAUAGCUAGGGUGCGGAAGAGGGAAGCGGAAUUUCCGGUGUAGCGGUGAAAUGCGUAGAUAUCGGAAGGAACACCAGUGGCGAAAGCGGCUUCCUGGUCCAGCACCGACGUUCAGGCACGAAAGCGUGGGGAGCAAACAGG
rnacentral:rRNA from 1 species